ACCCUCCUGUUUCCCUUCCCAUCAUAUCUGAACACUGGUCUUGGUCAUCUUCAAAGGAGGAAUAGUAAUAUUGAAGAUGGUCUCACAGGGCUCAUCUGCUGUGUAGCACAUGGGCUAGUUUUAAACAAGG